ensembl:snRNA U6 U6 spliceosomal RNA
GUGUGCACUUCAACACAUUUACUAAAGCUGAAACAAUACAGAGAAGAUUGGCAUAGCCCCUGUGUAAAGAUGACAUGCAAAUUUGUGAGUGCUCCAAAUGGUG